rnacentral:rRNA from 1 species
CCUACGGGAGGCAGCAGUAGGGAAUUUUCGUCAAUGGGCGCAAGCCUGAACGAGCAAUGCCGCGUGAACGAGGAAGGUCUUCGGAUCGUAAAGUUCUGUUGAAGGGGAAAAAGAGCGGAGAGAGGAAAUGGUCUCCGAUUGAUAUUACCCUUCGAGGAAGUCACGGCUAACUACGUGCCAGCAGCCGCGGUAAUACGUAGGUGGUGAGCGUUAUCCGGAAUGAUUGGGCGUAAAGGGUGCGUAGGCGGCCUGCUAAGUCUGGAGUGAAAGGUACCGGCUCAACCGGUACAGGCUCUGGAAACUGGCGGGCUAGAGAGCAGGAGAGGGCGGUGGAACUCCAUGGGUAGCGGUAAAAUGCGUAGAUAUAUGGAAGAACACCAGUGGCGAAGGCGGCCGCCUGGCCUGUUACUGACGCUGAGGCACGAAAGCGUGGGGAGCAAAUAGGAUUAGAUACCCCGGUAGUC